GAUGAACGCUGGCGGCGUGCUUAACACAUGCAAGUCGAACGAUGAAGCCCAGCUUGCUGGGUGGAUUAGUGGCGAACGGGUGAGUAACACGUGAGUAACCUGCCCUUAACUCUGGGAUAAGCCUGGGAAACUGGGUCUAAUACCGGAUAGGAGCGUCCACCGCAUGGUGGGUGUUGGAAAGAUUUAUCGGUUUUGGAUGGACUCGCGGCCUAUCAGCUUGUUGGUGAGGUAAUGGCUCACCAAGGCGACGACGGGUAGCCGGCCUGAGAGGGUGACCGGCCCAACGGGGACUGAGAAACGGCCCAGACCCCCAGGGGGGGAAGCGGGGGGGAAAAUUGCAAAAGGGGGGCAAGCCUAAUGCGGCGACGCCGGGGGAGGGAUGACGGCCUGCGGGUUUAAAACCUUUUUCAGGGGGGAAGAAGCGAAAGUGGCUGUACCUGCAGAAGAAGCACCGGCUAACUACGU
rnacentral:rRNA from 1 species